rnacentral:rRNA from 1 species
AGUGAACGCUGGCGGUAGGCCUAACACAUGCAAGUCGAACGGCAGCACAGUAAGAGCUUGCUCUUACGGGUGGCGAGUGGCGGACGGGUGAGGAAUACAUCGGAAUCUACUUUUUCGUGGGGGAUAACGUAGGGAAACUUACGCUAAUACCGCAUACGACCUACGGGUGAAAGCAGGGGAUCUUCGGACCUUGCGCGAUUGAAUGAGCCGAUGUCGGAUUAGCUAGUUGGCGGGGUAAAGGCCCACCAAGGCGACGAUCCGUAGCUGGUCUGAGAGGAUGAUCAGCCACACUGGAACUGAGACACGGUCCAGACUCCUACGGGAGGCAGCAGUGGGGAAUAUUGGACAAUGGGCGCAAGCCUGAUCCAGCCAUACCGCGUGGGUGGAGAAGGCCUUCGGGUUGUAAAGCCCUUUUGUUGGGAAAGAAAAGCAGCAGGUUAAUACCCCGCUGUUCUGACGGUACCCAAAGAACAAGCACCGGCUAACUUCGUG